rnacentral:rRNA from 1 species
CAGCAGCCGCGGGAAUACGGAGGGUGCAAGCGUUAAUCGGAAUUACUGGGCGUAAAGCGCACGCAGGCGGUCUGACAAGUCAGAUGUGAAAUCCCCGGGCUUAACCUGGGAACUGCAUUUGAAACUGUCAGACUGGAGUCUUGUAGAGGGGGGUAGAAUUCCAGGUGUAGCGGUGAAAUGCGUAGAGAUCUGGAGGAAUACCGGUGGCGAAGGCGGCCCCCUGGACAAAGACUGACGCUCAGGUGCGAAAGCGUGGGGAGCAAACAGGAUUAGAUACCCGUGUAGUCCCUGUCUCUUAUAC